rnacentral:lncRNA from 1 species
CAAACUCAGUUUGCAGGAAGGAGCAUAGGAGAAUAAAGGAUGGAACAAAGAAGAAAAAGAACAGCAAGUUACUCUGAGUAUUGUGGAAACAAACUGAAAUUAGAGUGAGAGAGAGAGAGAAAAAAAAAGAAGGUCCGAGCAAUCUCAGAUAUAUGAGAGGCCAAGAUGGGAAGAUCACUUGGGUAAGACUGGGAAGAUUGAGUCUGCAGUGAGUCACAGUCGCAUCAUUCUGCUGGAUUUGAAUGGUACUGCUUCUGGCCCAAGUUGUCUGGGCAACCUUAGACAUGGUCUUUUUGAUUGGAGAAUGCAGAUGUAUGCAGCAACAGGGUGUCCAUCGCGCUUCCUUCACUGCCUUGAUCAUGUCGGGGUCACCACCUGCGGGGGUUUGUCCUGCAGACCCUGACUCAACGACGGAUGAAUAAUGUACACUGACACAGAUCUUAUGCUUGUCAGUCCUGCUGAGCAUCCAGGCCACUUACAGACUCCAAGAAGAGUCCUGUCAGCCACGGCUCUGACUUGUUGGCCCUCCCGGCAUUUAUUUAGCACACAUUUAAUGACAGAAGUCUCAGGUAAACACCACUAGAAGGCUGGAAACACUCUUUUUGUAGAACAUACAAAUGGACAUUUCUAAGCACAUUGAGGCCUAUAAUGAAAAAUCAAAUAUCCCACAAUGAAAACUAGAAGGAAGCUAUCUGUGAUAAUGCUUUGUGGUGUAUGGAUUCAUCUCACUGACUGAAACCUGAGUUUUGAUUCACCAGGUUGGAAACUCUUUCUGCAGAAUCUGCAAAGAAAUAUUUCUGAGCCCAUUGAGGCCUACAGUGGAAAACUGAAUAUUCUGUGAUAAAACUAGAAACACCCUAUCUGUGAAAAUGCUUUGUGAUGUGUGGAUUUUUCUCAUCGAAUGGAACCUCUGUUUUGACUCACAAGGGUGAAACACUAUUUUAGUAGAAUCUAGGAAGAAACAUAUCUGAGCCCAUUUAUGCCUACAGUGAGAAACUGAAUACCCUGCAAUAAAAAGUAGACAGAAGCUAUUUGUAAAAAUGCUUUGUGAUGUGUGGAUUCAGUGUUAAACUUUUAUUUUGAUUCCACAGUUUUGACACCCUAUUUGUAGAAUAUAUGAAUGAACAUUUCUCAGCCCAUUGAGGCCUAUCAUGUGAAACCAAAUAUUUUAUAAUAAAAACUGGAAACAAGUGAUCUGUUAAAAUGUUUUUUAGUGUGUGAAUUUGUUUCACAAAGAUAAAUCUUUGCAUGGAUUCAACAGGUUGGAAACAUUAUUGUA